AAGUAAAUACUACAUUACAUUUAGUUUCGACCUAAAAAUUAGAAUUAUUUUCCAUACUUA
rnacentral:tRNA from 1 species